rnacentral:rRNA from 1 species
UGGGGAAUAUUGCACAAUGGGCGAAAGCCUGAUGCAGCAACGCCGCGUGAGUGAUGAAGGCCUUCGGGUUGUAAAGCUCUGUCUUUUGGGACGAUAAUGACGGUACCAAAGGAGGAAGCCACGGCUAACUACGUGCCAGCAGCCGCGGUAAUACGUAGGUGGCAAGCGUUGUCCGGAUUUACUGGGCGUAAAGGAUGCGUAGGCGGAUUUUAAGUGAGAUGUGAAAUACCCGGGCUUAACUUGGGUGCUGCAUUUCAAACUGGGAAUCUAGAGUGCGGGAGAGGAGAAUGGAAUUCCUAGUGUAGCGGUGAAAUGCGUAGAGAUUAGGAAGAACACCAGUGGCGAAGGCGAUUCUCUGGACCGUAACUGACGCUGAGGCAUGAAAGCGUGGGUAGCAAACAGGAUUAGAUACCCUGGUAGUCCACGCCGUAAACGAUGAGUACUAGGUGUAGGAGGUAUCGACCCCUUCUGUGCCGCAGUUAACACAAUAAGUACUCCGCCUGGGAAGUACGAUCGCAAGAUUAAAACUCAAAGGAAUUGACGGGGUC